GGGGACGUUAGGUUUCGACAGGGGGAGGCGUUACAAGGUUGCAAGCCGAGGUCGCCGCAGUCCUCGUUAAAAAGGUGGCACGCCAUAACUGGCAACCAGAAACUCGCUCUAGCGGCGUAAAGCCGUCCGCUACGUUCACUUCGGCCUCACCCCGAUGGGCUGGAGAUGGACGACACAAUGUCGGGGUGCUGCUGCUCAGACGUCGAUAAGAGCGGCCUAAGACUAAUCGACUGGUGCGCUCGCCAUUCGUCGGCAGAGGGCGGGUCGCACGACAACUAAAUGCCGAAGAAGCUUGUGGGAUACCUUGGAUGUGCUCUUUCUGGACGGGGAGUUCGAUUCUCCCCCGUCUCCACGG
rnacentral:tmRNA from 1 species